UAUUUCGCAAUGGGGGAAACCCUGAUGCAGCCACGCCGCGUGAGUGAGGAAGUAUUUCGGUAUGUAAAGCUCUAUCAGCAGGGAAUAGAAAAGAAGGUACCUGAAAAAGAAGCCCCGGCUAACUACGUGCCAGCAGCCGCGGUAAUACGUAGGGGGCAAGCGUUAUCCGGAUUUACUGGGUGUAAAGGGAGCGUAGACGGAGAGGCAAGUCAGAAGUGAAAACCCAAGGCUCAACCAUGGGACUGCGUUUGUAACUGUCAAACUAGAGUACGGGAGAGGUAAGAGGAAUUCCUAGUGUAGCGGUGAAAUGCGUAGAUAUUAGGAGGAACACCAGUGGCGAAGGCGUCUUACUGGACCGAAACUGACGUUGAGGCUCGAAAGCGUGGGGAGCAAACAGG
rnacentral:rRNA from 1 species